UAGGGAAUAUUGCGCAAUGGACGAAAGUCUGACGCAGCGACGCCGCGUGAGUGAUGAAGGCCUUAGGGUCGUAAAGCUCUGUUGAAUGGGAAGAAAUAAAUGACGGUACCAUUCGAGGAAGGACCGGCUAACUUCGUGCCAGCAGCCGCGGUAAUACGAGGGGUCCUAGCGUUGUUCGGAAUCAUUGGGCGUAAAGGGUGUGUAGGUGGCUAUGUAAGUCAGGUGUGAAAGCCCCGGGCUCAACCCGGGAAGUGCAUCUGAUACUGCGUAGCUUGAGUACCGAAGAGGAUAGUGGAAUUCCAGGUGUAGUGGUGAAAUACGUAGAUAUCUGGAGGAACACCGGUGGCGAAGGCGGCUAUCUGGUCGAGUACUGACACUGAGACACGAAAGCAUGGGGAUCAAACAGG
rnacentral:rRNA from 1 species